CUCGCAUUCAAAUGCCCAUUACAAUAUCCUAAAUCUUUCCAACUCUACAAUCCCUCUUCUCAUCCUCACGCCAUUCUGAGAGGAUGAAGUUAUUGUCAUGGUUGGGUCUCCAUCCACACGCCUCUUCUCAUAGUUACCUCUCUCCACUUAAAUUCUUCACCUUCCUCUGAUUUUGAGCCUUUUUUAACGCUUGCACAAAAUUUAAUAGGCUUUGGGUCCUUUUGCCUUCAAGAUUGCAAGCAUAGUGAACAGAUUUCUCAUCUUGUACCGGACAGAUUAUAGAAGGGUUUGAAUUCAUUUUGCUAUAUUGAUGGACAUGUUGGAAUCCACAAGAAAAUAUUCGAAAAGGGCCAAAACGAAGCAAAGUAAAAGUUCAAGGAUCAAAGCGCAAAUAUCCAAAAGUUGAACUAAAAGACGAAUCGGGAAUGCAAAAGAGCUAAAGGGGGUGUAUUCAAUUGGGACUUUUGAAGACUUUUAUGGAUUUUUUUAAGUGAUGACUUUUGUGGAUUUAGUGGAUCUUUUAUACAUUUGUAUGGAAUUAGUGGAAGUCUUUUUUAGACUUCUAUGAAUUUUCAUUUUAAAACUUUUAUAGA